GGCUUAGUGGUCUAGUAGUAUGAUUCUCGCUUUGGGUGCGAGAGGUCCCGGGUUCAAUUCCCGGCUGAGCCC
rnacentral:tRNA from 1 species